UACGUAGGGUGCAAGCGUUAAUCGGAAUUACUGGGCGUAAAGCGUGCGCAGGCGGUUUUGUAAGUCUGACGUGAAAUCCCCGGGCUCAACCUGGGAAUGGCAGUGGAUACUGGCAAGCUAGAGUGCGGUAGAGGGUAGUGGAAUUCCCGGUGUAGCAGUGAAAUGCGUAGAGAUCGGGAGGAACACCAGUGGCGAAGGCGGCUACCUGGACCAGCACUGACACUGAAGCACGAAAGCGUGGGGAGCAAACAGG
rnacentral:rRNA from 1 species